CUCAUGGUCUUUUAAUGUAGAUAUUCCAGUUUCCUUUUAUUCAUUCAUGCAUCCACUGUACUUUGUGGGAUAGCAAACAAGUUUAGAAGCAGGUCGACAUUUCAUUCCAACUCAGGGACUUUCCUUAGGACCGAUAAGCAUACCCAUAUAUACACUGAGUGGCCCAAAAGUAGGUAUACAGCUGACACAUAACAAAGUGGCAGUUGAAUUUCAGGAAUUCAAAUAUCAGUGUGGCAGUGUUAAAGAAUAGUGGAGGGCAGAUAGAAUAAUUGUUUAUUUUCUUUACUGUUAUUGUGAAUGAUGACAACGAGUCAAGAGCAAAGAAAGUGGAUUCAAAAGCAGUUCUAGAAUAC